UGCCCCCAACUGAGGUUGUUGCCUUGGAGUUGUGCUCCCCUAAACAGCAGCAUGAGAUGAUAAUCCCAUCUUCUGACUCCAAACCCUCUUCCCAAGCAUCUCUUUGCACUUUAUUAUACAACAAGCAAGAAAACGUCAAUGAGAAGCAUUUACUCAGCAAGACUCAUGUUCUCCAAGUAGAUGGCCUAGAUGAUGCCUGCCAUACUGCUGAACUCUCCCAUGUAGGACUAUUCUUUGCAGCCUCCUCAGUAGUCUCUCACAAGGCACACGAUGGUUUAAUAUGUAAGAAAAUUUGAAGACUAUAAUCCCAACAGGGAUUGUGCUCUCAAAUACAUGCUGUCAUAUUACAUAUCCUGACAAACAUCAGAGCUGUCAGACAACUCUCCAGGACAGCCAGGACCUAGACAGCACUGGCAGCAGAAUAUCCUUCGCAGCAGUAAAAGCAAAGUGAAACAAAC